ACGAAAUGGAGAAAAGGUUGGUGAAGCAAAAGGUGUGGUGGAAUGCUAACGAUAUGGGUGUCAGUUCUGAUGGUAUGGAGCAGAAGGAUGAGGGUCAAGCACCGGAAUGGUCGGUAGUGGAAAGAAGAGAGAUCAUGAUACAGAAAGCUGUGGAUCAUCUAGUAAAGAAAUGAUAAAGAGGGACAAGGUCCCAGGUCCCGAGAACCUUUUUAUUCUCACUCAACAGCUUCAUCAUUACUCAAGGCCACAAUGGAACAGAAUAGUGCACCUUGGUGGAUCUUGACUAAUCUGAGAGCAGAGUACUGGUGCACACGGAAGGCAUCGCUUAAGAAAAUCUCAAGGAAGGACACUGCGGCACUCUCUUGGAUUGGCUGGAUCAGCAGUAGGGGACACAGAGACCACAGGAAGUAGAAGUGGGCUCCGAAACCAGACUUUAUCUAACAUUUCUUUAUCCAAUAAACUCCCCCGUUCAUUCCAUGCCUCUCCUUGUGCUGCGACCACAAACAAAUCGGUUUCGUAAACCCUGUUGCAUUUUGAGUUAAUCUUAGUCUGUUAUUGAUGCUAAUCAUUUCAAUCUGUUCAAAAUUAUGCUGAACAGAAAGGUUCAGGUUUAUUUAAAAAGUGUUUUAGGUGUCAAUAUGCCAAAAUGCAAUAGAAAUAUUUGAGAAAAAUUGCACCGGAGUGAUGCUUUGUAUGAUGGAAUGUGGCCCAGUGUCAGACGAGAGGACGACUCACUCAGUGAGAUCAAAUACUGUAUAUUGUACUGUAUCUUGAGGAAUAUGACAAUAUCCUGUGGCUUUAGAGGGCAAGAGAUGUUUUUGUGGAGCAUUAUCUUCGGAGGGGAAAAUGAAUGUUCUGGCGGAAUAACUCAUUUUGGCGUUGAUGAUGAUAUUAUUUGCUCUUCCAGAUCACUGUCUUUCAUAUCAAAUCACAAGUGAACACAAAUGUUUUUGUUUGUUUGUUUUUUGGUGCCUUUUCUUCCUGCCGCCAAGCCAACCCAGACAAAGCCACUGGUCCAAUCACUUUGUGAAGCACCAACCGUGCUCAAUGAUCCAUGCUGCCAGUCUGUUGAUGAGGGCUGGACUAGAUUAAUUGACUAUCUGUCCAUUUCAAGGGAAACCUAUCCCUUCCCAUCAAUAUCAGCAUUUAGAACAGUUAGUGAAAACAAAGCUGAAGCUCUUUUCUCAGAUAUCGGGUCAAUGCCCUUCAUUACGCAAGUGUACACUUACCCUAACCCUAACCAAGUGCAUUCGGAAAGGAUUCAGACCCCUUGAC